GGGGAAUAUUGGACAAUGGGGGGAACCCUGAUCCAGCCAUGCCGCGUGUGUGAAGAAGGCCUUAUGGUUGUAAAGCACUUUAGGCGAGGGGAAGGUUUUUUGGUUUAUAACCAAGAUUAGUGGAAGUUACUUGGAGGAUACAGCACGGCUAACCCCGGUCCCAGCAGCCGCGGUAAUACAGAGGGUGCGAGCGUUAAUCGGAUUUACUGGGCGUAAAGCGUGCGUAGGCGGCUUUUUAAGUCGGAUGUGAAAUCCCCGAGCUUAACUUGGGAAUUGCAUUCGAUACUGGGAAGCUAGAGUAUGGGAGAGGAUGGUAGAAUUCCAGGUGUAGCGGUGAAAUGCGUAGAGAUCUGGAGGAAUACCGAUGGCGAAGGCAGCCAUCUGGGCUAAUACUGACGCUGAGGUACGAAAGCAUGGGGAGCAAACA
rnacentral:rRNA from 1 species